GAUGAACGCUGGCGGCGUGCUCAACACAUGCAAGUCGAACGGUGAAGCAGGAGCUUGCUCUUGUGGAUCAGUGGCGAACGGGUGAGUAACACGUGAGCAACCUGCCCCUGACUCUGGGAUAAGCGCUGGAAACGGCGUCUAAUACUGGAUAUGUGAUGUGACCGCAUGGUCUGCAUCUGGAAAGAAUUUCGGUUGGGGAUGGGCUCGCGGCCUAUCAGCUUGUUGGUGAGGUAAUGGCUCACCAAGGCGUCGACGGGUAGCCGGCCUGCGAGGGGACCCGGCAGAGCUGGGACUGAGACACGGGCCAGAGUCCUACGGGAGGCAGAAGUGGGGUAUAGGGCACAAGGGGCGGAAGCCUGAGGCAGCAACGCCUAGUGAGGGAUGACGGCCUUCGGGUUGUAAACCUCUUUUAGCAGGGAAGAAGCGAAAGUGACGGUACCUGCAGAAAAAGCACCGGCUAACUACGUGCCAGCCGCCGCCGUAA
rnacentral:rRNA from 1 species